rnacentral:siRNA from 1 species
GUCAUCACAAGGCCUCCUCAUCCA